rnacentral:rRNA from 1 species
CAGUCGAACGAAACUUUUUUUAUCACCGAGUGCUUGCACUCACCGAUAAAGAGUUGAGUGGCGAACGGGUGAGUAACACGUGGGCAACCUGCCCAAAAGAGGGGGAUAACACUUGGAAACAGGUGCUAAUACCGCAUAACCAUAGUUACCGCAUGGUAACUAUGUAAAAGGUGGCUAUGCUACCGCUUUUGGAUGGGCCCGCGGUGCAUUAGCUAGUUGGUGGGGUAAAGGCUUACCAAGGCAAUGAUGCGUAGCCGAACUGAGAGGUUGAUCGGCCACAUUGGGACUGAGACACGGCCCAAACUCCUACGGGAGGCAGCAGUAGGGAAUCUUCCACAAUGGGCGAAAGCCUGAUGGAGCAACGCCGCGUGGGUGAAGAAGGUCUUCGGAUCGUAAAACCCUGUUGUUAGAGAAGAAAGUGCGUGAGAGUAACUGUUCACGUUUCGACGGUAUCUAACCAGAAAGCCACGGCUAACUACGUGCCAGCAGCCGCGGUAAUACGUAGGUGGCAAGCGUUAUCCGGAUUUAUUGGGCGUAAAGGGAACGCAGGCGGUCUUUUAAGUCUGAUGUGAAAGCCUUCGGCUUAACCGGAGUAGUGCAUUGGAAACUGGGAGACUUGAGUGCAGAAGAGGAGAGUGGAACUCCAUGUGUAGCGGUGAAAUGCGUAGAUAUAUGGAAGAACACCAGUGGCGAAAGCGGCUCUCUGGUCUGUAACUGACGCUGAGGUUCGAAAGC